UCAACGCUGGCGGCGUGCCUAACACAUGCAAGUCGAGCGCGAAAGGGAGCUUCGGUUCCUGAGUAGAGCGGCGGACGGGUGAGUAACACGUGGGUAACCUAUCCUCGGGUGGGGAAUAACUUCGGGAAACCGGGGCUAAUUCCGCAUGAUAUCCAAAAUUCACAAGCGUUUAGGAUCAAAGCUGGGGACCCUUCGGGGCCUGGCGCCUGAGUGAGGGGCCCGCGACCGAUUAGCUUGUUGGUGAGGUAAUGGCUCACCAAGGCUUCGAUCGGUAGCCGGCCUGAGAGGGCGGACGGCCACACUGGGACUGAGACACGGCCCAGACUCCUACGGGAGGCAGCAGUGGGGAAUUUUUGUCAAUGGGGGAAACCCUGAACAAGCAACGCCGCGUGGAGGAUGAAGGCCUUCGGGUCGUAAACUCCUGUCAGAGGGGACGAAUGUGCCUAGGGUUAAUACCCUUAGGUAUUGACGGUACCCUACGAGGAAGCCCCGGCUAACUCC
rnacentral:rRNA from 1 species